UACGUAGGGUGCGAGCGUUGUCCGGAUUUAUUGGGCGUAAAGAGCUCGUAGGCGGCUUGUCGCGUCGAAUGUGAAAUCCCGUAGCUCAACUGCGGGUCUGCAUUCGAUACGGGCAGGCUAGAGUUCGGUAGGGGAGACUGGAAUUCCUGGUGUAGCGGUGAAGUGCGCAGAUAUCAGGAGGAACACCGGUGGCGAAGGCGGGUCUCUGGGCCGAUACUGACGCUGAGGAGCGAAAGCGUGGGGAGCGAACAGG
rnacentral:rRNA from 1 species